CUACGGGUCGCUGCAGUGAGGAAUAUUGCACAAUGGGGGGAACCCUGAUGCAGCAACGCCGCGUGGAGGAUGACGCAUAUCGGUGUGUAAACUCCUUUUAUAUGUCAAGAAAAUGACGGUAGCAUAUGAAUAAGCACCGGCUAACUCCGUGCCAGCAGCCGCGGUAAUACGGAGGGCGCAAGCGUUACUCGGAAUCACUGGGCGUAAAGGACGCGUAGGCGGGUUGGAAAGUCAGGUGUGAAAUCCUACAGCUUAACUGUAGAACUGCACUUGAAACUUCUAAUCUAGAGUAUGGGAGGGGGAGAUGGAAUUAGUGGUGUAGGGGUAAAAUCCGUAGAUAUCACUAGGAAUACCUAAAGCGAAGGCGAUCUCCUGGAACAUUACUGACGCUAAGGCGUGAAAGCGUGGGGAGCAAACAGGAUUAGAUACCCGAGUAGUC
rnacentral:rRNA from 1 species